UCUAAACCAACAUUUUGAAAACUUUCGUAAAGUACUAUGUUGGUUAUCUAGAUUGCUAUCAUAAACAAGUACUCAAUCUCCUUCUUCAAUUGCUCUAGGCCUUAAUCGAUGUUGGUUAUCAAAUCAAGUCUUAUUUUCUAAUCUUACUUUUUGUAACCUUUUUAAUGUUAGUUCCUGUCACGGACACAGAAUACAGACUUGAUAUCUACCAAGAAGUUUAAGAAGAACUGGCAAGAACUAGAUUAAUCAGAUGAAUACAAGAACAACACCGGAGAGGUGAGCUAGAGCUCCAAGAGAU
rnacentral:lncRNA from 1 species